rnacentral:rRNA from 1 species
UGCAGUCGAGCGGACAGAAGGGAGCUUGCUCCCGGAUGUUAGCGGCGGACGGGUGAGUAACACGUGGGUAACCUGCCUGUAAGACUGGGAUAACUCCGGGAAACCGGAGCUAAUACCGGAUAGUUCCUUGAACCGCAUGGUUCAAGGAUGAAAGACGGUUUCGGCUGUCACUUACAGAUGGACCCGCGGCGCAUUAGCUAGUUGGUGGGGUAAUGGCUCACCAAGGCGACGAUGCGUAGCCGACCUGAGAGGGUGAUCGGCCACACUGGGACUGAACACGGCCCAGACUCCUACGGGAGGCAGCAGUAGGGAAUCUUCCGCAAUGGACGAAGUCUGACGGAGCAACGCCGCGUGAGUGAUGAAGGUUUUCGGAUCGAAAGCUCUGUUGUUAGGGAAGAACAAGUGCGAGAGUAACUGCUCGCACCUUGACGGUACCUAACCAGAAAGCCACGGCUAACUACGUGCCAGCAGCCGCGGUAAUACGUAGGUGGCAAGCGUUGUCCGGAAUUAUUGGGCGUAAAGGGCUCGCAGGCGGUUUCUUAAGUCUGAUGUGAAAGCCCCCGGCUCAACCGGGGAGGGUCAUUGGAAACUGGGAAACUUGAGUGCAGAAGAGGAGAGUGGAAUUCCACGUGUAGCGGUGAAAUGCGUAGAGAUGUGGAGGAACACCAGUGGCGAAGGCGACUCUCUGGUCUGUAACUGACGCUGAGGAGCGAAAGCGUGGGGAGCGAACAGGAUUAGAUACCCUGGUAGUCCACGCCGUAAACGAUGAGUGCUAAGUGUUAGGGGGUUUCCGCCCCUUAGUGCUGCAGCUAACGCAUUAAGCACUCCGCCUGGGGAGUACGGUCGCAAGACUGAAACUCAAAGGAAUUGACGGGGGCCCGCACAAGCGGUGGAGCAUGUGGUUUAAUUCGAAGCAACGCGAAGAACCUUACCAGGUCUUGACAUCCUCUGACAACCCUAGAGAUAGGGCUUUCCCUUCGGGGACAGAGUGACAGGUGGUGCAUGGUUGUCGUCAGCUCGUGUCGUGAGAUGUUGGGUUAAGUCCCGCAACGAGCGCAACCCUUGAUCUUAGUUGCCAGCAUUCAGUUGGGCACUCUAAGGUGACUGCCGGUGACAAACCGGAGGAAGGUGGGGAUGACGUCAAAUCAUCAUGCCCCUUAUGACCUGGGCUACACACGUGCUACAAUGGACAGAACAAAGGGCUGCAAGACCGCAAGGUUUAGCCAAUCCCAUAAAUCUGUUCUCAGUUCGGAUCGCAGUCUGCAACUCGACUGCGUGAAGCUGGAAUCGCUAGUAAUCGCGGAUCAGCAUGCCGCGGUGAAUACGUUCCCGGGCCUUGUACACACCGCCCGUCACACCACGAGAGUUUGCAACACCCGAAGUCGGUGAGGUAACCUUUAUGGAGCCAGCCGCC